AUCCUGCUCCAUGGUCCUGGAAUAUGUAUUCCAUUUUGUGUGUCUUCACCAUAUAAAGUAGUAGGCAGUGCAUGAAUGGAUUUGCAAGUUGCAGAUGUCCUCAGAAAAGUGUGAAGAAAACUGGACUACCCAGUAAGAGAAACUGUGAAACCACCAAAACCACAUUCUACUCUGUACAAACAGCAGUGUCAACAAGAACUCAGCCCAUGCCAUCCCAGGAAGAACAGCAGAAUAAGGAAACAUGGAGUGGACGGAUAGUGUGCUUCUUUGCCACGUAGUCACAUAAAACAUUCACUAGUAACCACUGAACAAAAUAACCACAAUGUUAAACAACAGAGAAAAAACCAACCCAUUGUAGUAUAUAAUAUAUAGUGUAUAACAC